rnacentral:snRNA from 1 species
AUCGCUUCUCGGCCUUUUGGCUAAGAUCAAGUGUAGAAAUUUCUGUUGCCUCAAUCUAGGGUGAUGGUAUAUUUUUAUUUAAUAAUCAUCUCACACACAUUACCCCUU